rnacentral:rRNA from 1 species
ACACUCCUACGGGAGGCAGCAGUGGGGAAUAUUGCACAAUGGGCGCAAGCCUGAUGCAGCCAUGCCGCGUGUAUGAAGAAGGCCUUCGGGUUGUAAAGUACUUUCAGCGGGGAGGAAGGCGAUAAGGUUAAUAACCUUGUCGAUUGACGUUACCCGCAGAAGAAGCACCGGCUAACUCCGUGCCAGCAGCCGCGGUAAUACGGAGGGUGCAAGCGUUAAUCGGAAUUACUGGGCGUAAAGCGCACGCAGGCGGUCUGUCAAGUCGGAUGUGAAAUCCCCGGGCUCAACCUGGGAACUGCAUUCGAAACUGGCAGGCUAGAGUCUUGUAGAGGGGGGUAGAAUUCCAGGUGUAGCGGUGAAAUGCGUAGAGAUCUGGAGGAAUACCGGUGGCGAAGGCGGCCCCCUGGACAAAGACUGACGCUCAGGUGCGAAAGCGUGGGGAGCAAACAGGAUUAGAAACCCGUGUAGUCCCAUGAU